AUAUCAAUAAGCGCAGGAAAAGAAACCAACAGGGAUUGCCUCAGUAACGGCGAGUGAAGCGGCAACAGCUCAAAUUUGAAAUCUGGCCUCUCGGGGUCCGAGUUGUAAUUUGUAGAGGAUGUUUCGGGUACCGCCUCGGUUUAAAUUUCUUGGAACAGAAUGUCAAAGAGGGUGAGAAUCCCGUCUUUGACCUGGAGUUCACCGCGUACGGCACGUGUUCUACGAGUCGAGUUGUUUGGGACUGCAGCUCCAAUUGGGUGGUAAAUUUCAUCUAAAGCUAAAUACCAGCGAGAGACCGAUAGCGCACAAGUA
rnacentral:rRNA from 1 species